CCUACGGGAGGCUGCAGUGGGGGAUAUUGCACAAUGGGGGGAACCCUGAUGCAGCGACGCCGCGUGGGUGAAGGAGUGCUUCGGCAUGUAAAGCCCUAUCGGCAGGGAAGAAGCAAGACGGUACCUGACUAAGAAGCCCCGGCUAACUACGUGACAGCAGCCGCGGUAAUACGUAGGGGGCGAGCGUUAUCCGGAUUCACUGGGUGUAAAGGGAGCGUAGACGGCCAUGCAAGCCAUGGGUGAAAGCCCGGGGCACAACCCCGGGACUGCCCUUGGAACUGUGCGGCUAGAGUGCGGGAGGGGCAGGAGGAAUUCCUGGUGUAGCGGUGAAAUGCGUAGAUAUCAGGAGGAACACCGGCGGCGAAGGCGGCCUGCUGGACCGCGACUGACGUUGAGGCUCGAAAGCGUGGGGAGCGAACAGGAUUAGAUACCCGUGUAGUC
rnacentral:rRNA from 1 species